rfam:Ailuropoda melanoleuca scaffold564_10, whole genome shotgun sequence.
CUAAAAUAUUAUAUUUUUUCUAUAAAAAGGGAAAAAAUGGAAAAAAAUAC